rnacentral:lncRNA from 1 species
CAUGGCACAUCCUUUGUCCCUUUACCCUGGGAAAGAAAACUCACCAGUCCAGGUUCCUGUUGUCUGUUUUAGGGCUACCUUCGGACUGUCUGGGCAGCACAAGUCUGAUAUGGGGACAGCUUCGGUCCGGGGUCCAUUCUUCGAUAUAUUGACUUUUUGCAGUGAGGUCCCAGCCCAGGGCCAGGGCCCCUGGGCACAUACUUUGGUCAUUUUCCCUUGGAAAGAAAACUCACCAGUCCAGUUUCCUGAUGUCAGUUUGUAGGGCUUCCUUGGGUCUAUCAGCGCAGUACAAGUUUGAGGUGGGGAAAAUUUCGGUUGGGGGUCGAUCGUUUGAUAUAUGGAGUUUUUGCAUUCAGGCCCCAGCCCAGUGGCCAGGGGCCCCUGGGCACAUCCUUUGGCCAUUUUCCCUGGGAAAGAAAAUUCACCAGUCCAGUUUCCUGAUGUCAGUUUAUAGGGAUCCCAUGGAUCUAUCAGGGCAGCACAAGUUUGAGGUGGGGACAACUUCAGUCUGGGGUCCAUCCUUCUAUAUAACUAUUUUUUGCAUUCAGGGCCCAUCCCAGGGCCAGGGGCCCAUGGGCACAUAUU